GGGAAUAUUGCACAAUGGGCGGAAGCCUGAUGCAGCGACGCCGCGUGAGGGAUGAAGGCCUUCGGGUUGUAAACCUCUUUCAGCAGGGACGAAGCGUGAGUGACGGUACCUGCAGAAGAAGCACCGGCUAACUACGUGCCAGCAGCCGCGGUAAUACGUAGGGUGCGAGCGUUGUCCGGAAUUACUGGGCGUAAAGAGUUCGUAGGCGGUUUGUCGCGUCGUUUGUGAAAACCCGGGGCUCAACUUCGGGCUUGCAGGCGAUACGGGCAGACUUGAGUGUUUCAGGGGAGACUGGAAUUCCUGGUGUAGCGGUGAAAUGCGCAGAUAUCAGGAGGAACACCGGUGGCGAAGGCGGGUCUCUGGGAAACAACUGACGCUGAGGAACGAAAGCGUGGGUAGCAAACAGGAUUAGAUACCCUGGUAGUCCACGCCGUAAACGGUGGGCGCUAGGUGUGGGUUCCUUCCACGGGAUCUGUGCCGUAGCUAACGCAUUAAGCGCCCCGCCUGGGGAGUACGG
rnacentral:rRNA from 1 species